AACGAACGCUGGCGGCGUGCCUAACACAUGCAAGUCGAACGUGAUUCGUAGCUUGCUCCGAUGAGAGUGGCGCACGGGUGAGUAACGCGUAGAUAAUCUGCCGGAUGAUCUGGGAUAACAGUUCGAAAGGACUGCUAAUACCGGAUAAGCCCACGUAGACCUGGGUCUUGGCGGGAAGAGGGGGGGGACGUUCGGGCUUUCCGUCAGCAGAUGAGUCUGCGUACCAUUAGUUAGUUGGUAGGGUAAAGGCCUACCAAGGCGACGAUGGUUAGCUGAUCUGAGAGGAUGAUCAGCCACACUGGAACUGAGACACGGUCAAGACUCCUACGGGAGGCAGCAGUGGGGAAUUUUGCGCAAUGGGGGAAACCCUGACGCAGCAACGCCGCGUGAGUGAUAAAGGCUCUUGGGUCGUAAAGCUCUGACAGAGGGAAAGAAGUGUAUGGUGGUUAAUACCCAUUGUACUUGACGGUACCCUCAAAGGAAGCACCGGCUAACUCCGUGCCAGCAGCCGCCGUAACAC
rnacentral:rRNA from 1 species